rnacentral:rRNA from 1 species
UCAUUGGGUUAGAUCUGCUCUCUUCGCAAGAAGAGGGUUUCCAUACACACCGUGAACUGUGGCUUCGGCCAUCACAAACUGUUAGUAAUGAAUGUAAUAUCAUAACAAAAACAAAACUUUUAACAACGGAUCUCUUGGCUCUCGCAUCGAUGAAGAACGCAGCGAAAUGCGAUAAGUAAUGUGAAUUGCAGAAUUCAGUGAAUCAUCGAAUCUUUGAACGCACCUUGCGCCCUUUGGUAUUCCGAAGGGCAUGCCUGUUUGAGUGUCAUGAAACCUCACCCCACUUGGGUUUUUGCCUGAGCGGUGGUGUAUUGGGUGUUGCCUUGCUAAAGGCUCGCCUUAAAGAUAUAAGCACCUUGGAUGUAAUACGUUUCAUCCCUCUGGGUGGCUGAUAACCCCACAUAUUCAUGAUCUGGCCUCAAAUCAGGUAGGGCUACCCGCUGAACUUAAGCAUAUCAAUAA